GUGUCAGCAGCCGCGGUAAAACGUAGGUGGCAAGCGUUAUCCGGAUUUACUGGGCGUAAAGGGUGUGCAGGCGGACUGCCAAGUGGUGUAUGAAAUCGCUCGGCUCAACCGGGCGCGGUUAUGCCAGACUGGCAGACUAGAGACUGACAGAGGGUGGUGGAAUUCCGGGUGUAGUGGUGAAAUGCGUAGAGAUCCGGAGGAACCCCAGAGGCGAAGGCGGCCACCUGGGUCAGUUCUGACGCUCAGACACGACAGCAUGGGGAGCGAACGGGAUUAGAUACCCGUGUAGUCC
rnacentral:rRNA from 1 species